GCCGCGGUAGCUCAGCCUGGGAGACCUCAUAGCUCAUCAGCAUCCGGCUGAAGACCGGAGUGUCGUCGGCUCAAAUCCGACCCGCGGCA
rnacentral:tRNA from 1 species